UACGUAGGGAGCAAGCGUUGUUCGGAUUUACUGGGCGUAAAGGGCGCGUAGGCGGCGCGACAAGUCACUUGUGAAAUCUCCGGGCUUAACUCGGAACGGUCAAGUGAAACUGUCAUGCUAGAGUGCAGAAGGGGCAAUCGGAAUUCUUGGUGUAGCGGUGAAAUGCGUAGAUAUCAAGAGGAACACCUGAGGUGAAGACGGGUUGCUGGGCUGACACUGACGCUGAGGCGCGAAAGCCCAGGGGAGCAAACGGG
rnacentral:rRNA from 1 species